rnacentral:rRNA from 1 species
GAUGAACGCUGGCGGCGUGCCUAAUACAUGCAAGUCGAGCGAACAGACGAGGAGCUUGCUCCUCUGACGUUAGCGGCGGACGGGUGAGUAACACGUGGAUAACCUACCUAUAAGACUGGGAUAACUUCGGGAAACCGGAGCUAAUACCGGAUAAUAUAUUGAACCGCAUGGUUCAAUAGUGAAAGACGGUUUUGCUGUCACUUAUAGAUGGAUCCGCGCCGCAUUAGCUAGUUGGUAAGGUAACGGCUUACCAAGGCAACGAUGCGUAGCCGACCUGAGAGGGUGAUCGGCCACACUGGAACUGAGACACGGUCCAGACUCCUACGGGAGGCAGCAGUAGGGAAUCUUCCGCAAUGGGCGAAAGCUUGACGGAGCAACGCCGCGUGAGUGAUGAAGGUCUUCGGAUCGUAAAACUCUGUUAUUAGGGAAGAACAAAUGUGUAAGUAACUAUGCACGUCUUGACGGUACCUAAUCAGAAAGCCACUGCUAACUACGUG